UACGUAGGCAGCGAGCGUUGUUCGGAGUUACUGGGCGUAAAGAGUGCGUAGGCGGUGCUCCAAGUCUGGUGUGAAAUCUCCCGGCUUAACCGGGAGGGUGCGCCGGAAACUGGGGUGCUGGAGUGUGGGAGAGGUAAGCGGAAUUCCCGGUGUAGCGGUGAAAUGCGUAGAUAGUCGGGAGGAACACCUGCGGUGUAGACGGCUUACUGGACCAUAACUGACGCUGAGGCACGAAAGCGUGGGUAGCAAACAGG
rnacentral:rRNA from 1 species